rnacentral:rRNA from 1 species
UAUAUUUUUUCUAUAAAUUAAAUAUGAUAAAUUUGUUUUAAUAAUAAAAAAAAUUUUUCUGUUUUAGUAAAUUUUAUUAAUAAAAUUUUAUUUUAAAUUCUGAGAAGAAAUAUUAUUUAUAUAUUAAAAAGUAUAAUGAUUUUUGUACCUUUUGUAUCAGGGUAAAUUAAGUAUAAAUAUAAAUUAUAUGUCUCCCGAAAUAUAAUGAAUUAAAAUAAUUUGUAAAUUAUUGUUAUAAAAAUAUUUAAAAAAUUGUUUUAGAAAUGAAAUUUUAUCGAAUUAUAUGAUAUCUGGUUUUUUAAGAAAUGAAUUUAAUUCAGGAUAAUUAUAUAAUUUAUAUUUUUAUAUAAAAUUACUUUAUUAUCUUAUUAUAAUAGGGAUUAGCCAAUUAUGAUUAUUUAUAUAAUUUUUUAUAAUUUAAUUUGAUAAGCUUAAAAACAGCUAAAUUUAGAGUAAGUUAAAUUUUAUUAUUUAAUUAUAUGUAUUUAAAUAUAUAAUUAUUAAAUUUUUAUUUUAAAACUUAAUAUAAUAAAUUAUUAUAUUUAAUAUGAUUUUAUUAGUAUAAUUAUUAUAAAUUUAAUUUAUGAAUUAGGCAAUAUUAAUUUUCACCUGUUUAUCAAAAACAUGUCUUUCAGGGAAAAAUUGAAGGUCUAAUCUGCCCAAUGAUAAUUUAAUGGCCGCGGUAAACUGACCGUGCAAAGGUAGCAUAAUAACUAGUCUUUUAAUUGAAGGCUUGAAUGAAUGAUUAAAUGAAAAAUUGACUUUAUUAAUAUAAAUUAUUAUAACUUAAUUUUUAAGUCAAAAAGCUUAAAUUCUUAAGUAGGACGAGAAGACCCUAUAGAGUUUAAAAAUAAUUUUAUUAAUUUAAUUUUAGUAUUUCUAUUUAAAUUAAUAAUAUUAUUUUUUUGUUGGGGUGACACUAUAAAAUAUAUAACUUAUGGUUUAUGAAACAUUUAUAUAUGUAUUAAUGAUCCAUUAAUUUAAAAUAAUGAUUACAAGAAUAAAUUACCUUAGGGAUAACAGCGUUAUUAUCUUUUAGAGUUCAUAUUAAUAAGGUAGUUUGCGACCUCGAUGUUGGAUUAAGAAUAUAGUUUGGAGCAAAAUCUAAAACUUUAGGUCUGUUCGACCUUUAAAUUCUUACAUGAUCUGAGUUCAGACCGGUGUAAACCAGGUCGGUUUCUAUCCACUUUAUUUUUAAUAAUAUUAGUACGAAAGGACCAUAUUAAUUAACUUAUAUUAU